AUGAAUGAGAUCUAGUUAAAGGCGGAGCUGUGAACUUGGUUCAAAAUAGUUAACUCUGAACCUGCCGGGACUGAAUAUAGCGCUAGUUCUUCAGCAACCACUCAGUUCAGAUGAAAUACUAACAACAUCUUAGUUGGAGGGCUUUGGCUUUUUCACCAAAUAGUUUAACGCCAUCCUUGAGACGAAGAAUGCCUAGGGAAGGCUUUUCUGAAGAUAUGGCAAAUGAAUGCUGACGUUAGCUGUAGAAGAACAAGACAGGCUUCAUGUGGACAGAUUACAGCACAUGAUGUUUUCUUUCCAGAAGAGGUCAGAAGGACCUGGACUUUAUCAUUGUUGAUGUGCAGCAAAAAAUAUGAUAAAAGAAAGUGGAAAAAAAACUUGGAGAGGUAUGUGAGGAGAGUGCCAGUCAGGCAACAUGGGCAGGCGGACAAUGGUGAGGUGUGUGAAAAGCACCUCACCAAAAGGCUUCUUGUUUGCAGUACUGGUGGACAUGUUGACGUGGACUGUGAUGUUCGCAGAUGAUAUUGUGGUCUAUAGCGUGAAGGUGUAGGUACGCUUUGGAACAAAGUCGGUCAGAGCGAGGCGGAACAAUUGUGUGUAAAUGAGGAGGCAGCAGGUAGACGAAUGACAAAGAAUGAUGGUGGAAGAGUUUCAGAACUUGAUGUACCGUCCAAAGCUAAGGACAGUGCAUGAGAAAGGCGAAGAGAGCGGAGGCAAGGCAGAGUGGAUGGAGGGGUGACUUCUGACAGAAGGAUAGCUCUAAGAGUAAAAGAUCAUGUUUUCAACACGUUGGAGGCUUACUAUCAUGUUCACUUUAGAGACUGUGGCACUUAGAGAAGACGGAGCUAAAGACAUAAAGAUUUUAAUUGGUCGUUACCAUGGACAGAAUUGGAAACAUGGUAGAGUGUUUGCUGAGGUUGAAAGGUUUAGGGAAAACAAAGAGGCAAAACUGAGAUGGUUUGCACAUGUGCAGACGGGAGACGGUGGCUAUAUGGAACAAAAGAUGAUCAGCAUUGAGCUCACAGCUAUGUGAGUAAGACAAAGGAAUACUUUGAAUUUUUUGACCAUUCUUCAGGGGGAAAAAAAUCGAUUUUCUUGCUUAGCUUCUGAAUUGUUACAAAUUACAAAGUGAAGUACGUAAGUUAAUUACUUAAGAGUGUAAGCAUUAAUUUAAAUAGUGGUAUUGGUGGCCAUCAUUGGGCUUUUUACCAAAGAAAGGAGUGAUGUUGUUAAAACACAAUUGCCAAUCGCAGACAGUGGUUUUUUUUCCCCCUUGUCCCCAACUUAUUGAACUCCAAUCCAUCUUCCUCCCCGUUUUGCCUAAGAGGAAGAGGAUGUGCGGUGUUAAUCGACGUCUGGUUUGUGUACGUGUCACGGUCAGGGGGGUUGGGGGUUUCGCCAUCAGGGGAUUUGAGCGUUGCAGCUUGUUAUGUUGCAACAUAGAAGCAACAACAAGUCCAGGUUGAUGAAUGGCAAGAUGCUGCUACUGAUCGUUAAAAUGCUCCUUUCUCCACGCGCCGUAGCGGCCCAUUUAUCAGCUGCAGAGCCGGACCUGCACAUCCAGACAGACCCGCGCACAUCACACACCCUAAUCAGCUGCUUCUCCGUAGCCGUGGCAACCAGCUGCACAAGCCCCCUCACUUUUAACUCCCUUUCUCUUUUUUUUUUUCCUUUUCCUGCUCACCCUUUUGCUUUCAUGAGCUAAUCCUCCCUUCAUCCUUUUUAUAUUCUUCCCCAGCUAACGAAGGAAGGCAAAGUAAAGACGUUUAAAACAUUGAGUUUUAAAAAAAAAAGAAAGAAGAAAAACAGGCAUGGUCUUAAAGGACUUUGCAGGCUGCUGCCUAGCAUCUGAUUUCCUCUGGGAAGCCGGCUCAGAUAAAGGGAAAGAAAAAAGGCGUGACCGUGUGAAAGAAGAAGAUAAAGAUGGGGUUUACCUGUCAGGUGAAGUGGGAGAUGGAGCAUAUCAGACCAAUAGUCCCGACUUGAUAUGUGCAUAGGUAAUAGAUGCGCUGUUCUCAGAUAGAAAUAAAGCUGGUGUCUCAAAGGGCUUAAUUAUAAGGCUUUCCUAAAGCAGAAUGUUCAUCGUCUAAUUUCCAAGCGAAGGAACAGAUUCCGAGUCUAGAGACGGAUAACGGAAAAGUCACGCUUUGAAUUAUGUCUGCAGAUGCAAAGAAGCAUUUAGCUGCCGGUGAUUCGUAUUUAAAUGUAGCAUGUGACCACGGCAACCUGAUAAUACCCAGACUGCCAGUGGAAAGGUCGAGCUACGCUGUUUGAUUUAUCUUCUCAAUGUUCAUGUCUGCCAUGGUUGCCCUUGCUGGUAUAUGUAUAAUAGUGCUGCGCAAUAUCAGGAAUGGAUGUAACCAUAAUAUUAUACUAGAAUAUACUGCUGUAUUGAUUAGGAUUAACCUAUACUUUCAUGACUCCUUUUUCCUUCAUCAGUGUCCAAACCACCUUGGCUGAGUGUUAGCAUCUCCGCCAUGAAAACUACACAUCAAAUGUGGGCAUUACAGACAGUCCACGUCUGCCCACCAGGCCAAAUAUAUUAUUGAUAGGCAGAAUGAUGACAUUGAAAUCUAAAAUCCUCCUAAAUGCUGCUUCCAAGUAGUCCGUCGUGAUUGGACGCGCCUGAUCUAUGCAAUAUCCCAAAGUGCUGAGGAUUAGUGGUAUAGUUCACCACAAGUAUUAAUGAUAAUCCUGUGAUGCAGAAAGAUUUUACAAUGACUACAUGGUCAGGAGCACUCUGUGACUUUAUCUCGUGAAUGAAGCGGGUACUAGCUUGGUGUCAAGAGCCCAAAUAAGUAACCUGUCAAUGGUAGCAAAGGUCAGCCUGCUGCUCUGUUUCUGCUCAUAAUGGGCAAAGCAUGUUGGUUUCCAGACGUACACUGUGUUGUGCUACAAAAAUGGGAAUAAACAUAGCUUGAUCUAGUUAACAUCGGAAUGCACAUACUUAGAUAUGCAUGUAUGG